UACGUAGGGGGCGAGCGUUGUCCGGAAUCAUUGGGCGUAAAGAGCGUGUAGGCGGCUUGGCAAGUCUUGCGUGAAAUCCUGCGGCUCAACCGCAGGCGGUCGCAGGAAACUGCCUCGCUAGAGUCCGGAAGAGGAGAGCGGAAUUCCUGGUGUAGCGGUGGAAUGCGCAGAUAUCAGGAAGAACACCCGUGGCGAAGGCGGCUCUCUGGGACGGUACUGACGCUGAGACGCGAAAGCGUGGAGAGCAAACAGG
rnacentral:rRNA from 1 species